AUGUAUGAUUUUCAAGAGGGUAUGUUUGUCACCCUUGAUCUUGGUGAUCCUGACAUCAACCAGGACAAUUUGGACAUUUGGGUCCUUGUUGAUACGCUUCCAAUUCUACCGCUAUCUUAUUUUCAUUCUUCAAAGAAUAUGCGGAAGAUGGUAGCCAGAACCUACUACACCGAUGGCUCUGAGUUAACUUAUCAGGAGAAAAAUCAUCUGGUCGCAUAUUGUACUGAAAUUGAGAAUUACAAUGCCAUUUAUCGAACUCCUCCACAUUAUGGUCAAUAUGUGCCACUAGUGCACAUGUUGAACCACGAUAAUUUCCAUGGAGAUGCCCUAAAUGGCUGCCUUGAUGUUUUGAACAUACAACCAGGUCGUCCUACGAAUCUCACCUGUCCAUGCCGGAUUUCUAAAACAGGUGAACACGAUAAUCAAAGAAUGGAAAAAAUGUAUGGACAAUCGUAA
rnacentral:rRNA from 1 species